UACGAAGGGGGCUAGCGUUGUUCGGAUUUACUGGGCGUAAAGCGCGUGUAGGCGGGUCGUUAAGUUGGGGGUGAAAUCCCGAGGCUCAACCUCGGAACUGCCUUCAAAACUGGCGACCUGGACUCAAGCAGAGGCAAGUGGAAUUGCGAGUGUAGAGGUGAAAUUCGUAGAUAUCGAGAGGAACACCGGUGGCGAAGGCGGCCAACUGGACGAAUACUGACGCUGAGACACGAAAGCGUGGGGAGCAAACAGG
rnacentral:rRNA from 1 species